CUAGGAGAAGAAGAGGUUGCCAAACAUGUUGAUCAGGUAGUUGAACAUCUUCAGACUGCAGAAGAAUUGAAAUUACAAUCUGGAAGCAACCUAUUGGAAGUAAUCCGGAGCCUUGGUAAAAUUUCUUAUUUUACAGAAUUCGUUGCCGUGAAUUUGUUGAUUUCAACGAAGGUCUGUUGUUGAAAGAACAUCCGGGAGUUGUGAUAUCGGUGCAGACGAGACAGGCAAUAAGAGCGGUGCUCAAUCACUGUCAAGAUGUUAUCCAAGAGAUGCAGUCUGGUGGGCUACUCGAUGAAGGAGACGAAGAGAAAUUAUUUAUGAAUUUGUUUCGCUUUGGUGAUGUUGAUGGCAAAGGUGUAGAUGCCAAGUUGCAGCAUCCUCUUGGAGUCUCUUGGAACAGCAAAGACAAUCAUCUAUAUGUUGCCAACUCCUAUAAUCACAAAGUUGCUCACGUUUCUCUUUCUCGAUUUUGUAAACUAAUUCCUGACAUUUUAGAUUAAACGUGUUAAUCCUUUGACUCGUGAAUGUGUCACCAUAUGUGGAAAUGGAUCGGCAGGUGCAGCUGUUGGUUCAUAUGGUAGUGCACAGUUUUCUGAACCGGGAGGCUUAUGUGUGUCACACGACUGCAGCAAUCUCUAUGUAGCUGACACCAACAAUCAUUGUAUUAAGAUUGUAGACCUAGAAUCAAAACUUGUUUCUCAGCUGUUUGUCAGAGAAGCUGCUGUUGUAGAGUCUGAAGUUAAGCAAGUCAAAGAGAAACGUGUGUCACCUAGAGGAACUGCUGUCACUCAACUGCCUCCAUUGUGUAUGAGAGAUGGGAUUACAAGGAACAUUCGAUUGCACGUUGAGCUUUCUGCAGACUAUCAUUUCACUGAGGGAGCUACUAGUCGUUGGAAAAUUGUUAUUCCAGAAGGCAAUGUUUGGAAAUGAUGCCCCAUCAAAGUGUUGGGUGACAAAUCUGGUUCAAUAUGUUGUAUUCGAGAUGUUUGUAUCUCUCUUUCUUGCACUUCAGCAGUCCAUCUAACUGAAUCAUCAUUUGAGGUUGAAGCUGAGGUAUAUUUCUGUGAGGAGUCAGGCCUGUGUCGUGUACAGGGUGCAAAGUUUCAGGUUGCAGUCAAUGUUUUGGAAAGCAGUGAGAUAUCGACAGGUUUGCAUGAUGAUUAUAUGAUGACUAUUGAAUGUAAAGUGUAAAACUGAGCUUUUCAGUCGAGAAAGCUAAUUGGUAUUGGUUAUGAACUUAAUUGACUUUGCUAUUAGAAUUGCCUAGAAAUUUAUUCAUUAGUUAAAUGAACAUGAAAUAUUUGAUUGCAUGCCCGUGUUAAUUUCUUUGCCAACUAGCGGUGCCUUUUUUGUAUUAUGUUAUUGUAUUUGUAUCUUUUACAAUGCU